GACGAACGCUGGCGGCGUGCCUAAUACAUGCAAGUAGAACGCUGAAGCUUGGUGCUUGCCCCGAGCGGAUGAGUUGCGCACGGGUGAGUAACGCGUAGGUAACCUGCCUGGUAGCGGGGGAUAACUAUUGGAAACGAUAGCUAAUACCGCAUAAGAGUAGAUGUUGCAUGACAUUUGCUUAAAAGGUGCAAUUGCAUCCCUACCAGAUGGACCUGCGUUGUAUUAGCUAGUUGGUGAGGUAACGGCUCACCAAGGCAACGAUACAUAGCCGACCUGGGAGGGUGAUCGGCCACACUGGGACUGGGACACGGCCCAGACUCCUACGGGAGGCAGCAGUAGGGAAUCUUCGGCAAUGGACGGAAGGCUGACCGAGCAACGCCGCGGGAGUGAAGAAGGGUUUCGGAUCGUAAAGCUCUGUUGUAAGAGAAGAACGAGUGUGAGAGUGGAAAGUUCACACUGUGACGGUAGCUUACCAGAAAGAGACGGCUAACUACGUG
rnacentral:rRNA from 1 species